rnacentral:rRNA from 1 species
CGCUGGCGGCAUGCCUAACACAUGCAAGUCGAACGGAAAGUGGGGAACUCACUUUCAGUGGCAAACGGGUGAGUAACGCGUAAAUAACCUGCCUUUGAGAAGGGGAUAACUGUCCGAAAGGAUAGCUAAUACCCUAUAAUGUCCUUUGUCACAAAGGCAAAGGAUGAAAGCGAGGCUGUCAAAGGCUUCGGCUCAAAGAGGGGUUCGCGUCCUAUCAGGUAGUUGGUGGGGUAAUGGCCUACCAAGCCAAUGACGGGUAGCUGGUCUUAGAGGAUGAUCAGCCACAGUGGGACUGAGACACGGCCCGCACCCCUACGGGGGGCAGCAGUGGGGAAUCGUGGGCAAUGGACGAAAGUCUGACCCCGCAAUGCCGCGUGAGGGAAGAAGCCCUUCCGGGGUGUAAACCUCUGUCAGAUGGGAAGGAUGGGACCAAAGGGCUAAUACCCCUUGGUCUUGACGGUACCAUCAGAGGAAGGGACGGCUAACUACGUGCCAGCAGCCGCGGUAAUACGUAGGUCCCGAGCGUUGCGCGAUGUUACUGGGCGUAAAGCGUCCGUAGCUGGUUUCGUAAGCGGAUUGUCAAAACCCGAAGCUCAACUUCGGCAAGGCAUUCCGAACUGCGUUACUUGAGUCCUGUUCAGGUAGGCGGAAUUCCCGGUGUAGCGGUGAAAUGCGUAGAUAUCGGGAGGAACACCAGUGGCGAAGGCGGCCUACUGGGACGGUACUGACGGUCAUGGACGAAAGCUGGGGGAGCAAACCGGAUUAGAUACCCGGGUAGUCCCAGCCGUAAACGAUGGAUGUUAGGUGUAGUGAUAACUUCGCUGCACCCCAGCUAACGCGUUAAACAUCCCGCCUGGGGAGUACGGGCGCAAGCCUGAAACUCAAAGGAAUUGGCGGGGGCCCGCACAACCGGUGGAGCGUCUGGUUUAAUUCGAUGCUAACCGAAAAACCUUACCAGGGUUUGAAAUGGUAGGAAAGGCUGUCGAAAGACAGCCGUGUUUCCCUUUUGGGAGAAAUCCUACCCCUUUUGGUGCAUGGCCGUCGUCAGCUCGUGUUGUGAGAUGUUGGGUUAAGUCCCGUAACGAGCGCAACCC